CAGCAGCCGCGGGAAUACGUAGGUGGCAAGCGCUGUCCGGAAUUAUUGGGCGUAAAGGGCUCGCAGGCGGUUUCUUAAGUCUGAUGUGAAAGCCCCCGGCUCAACCGGGGAGGGUCAUUGGAAACUGGGAAACCUGAGUGCAGAAGAGGAGAGUGGAAUUCCACGUGUAGCGGUGAAAUGCGUAGAGAUGUGGAGGAACACCAGUGGCGAAGGCGACUCUCUGGUCUGUAACUGACGCUGAGGAGCGAAAGCGUGGGGAGCGAACAGGAUUAGAUACCCCGGUAGUCCCUGUCUCUUAUAA
rnacentral:rRNA from 1 species